GGGAAUGUGACUUGUGGGGGACCGAAGGCUUCGUGGGUUUGUGGGGUUGUCUGCCAACUUGGUGCUAAUUGGGAAUAAUCUGAGAAGCAAGUCGCCUACUCACCUCCCACCCUAUGUCCCUCCUCCCGCAGCCUUUUUCCCCAGCCUAGUGCCUCCACAGGGCCACUUUCAAAGCUUGCAAUUUAUUUGGAAAGGGUCCCCCGCAGAGGCGCAUGGCAGCAGGAGCCGGGGGCGUGUGCCUUGCCCUGCGAGUGCGGCUGGAGCUGCGCCCCCAGAGGCGCUGCAUCUCCGCGCCUGCAGCGCGAGAAAAGGCAGCAGGCAGCUUGGUACCUCCAGGGCUGCGGAGUCUCUAAGGAGGCUGCAAGAGCCCAGAGUCGCCGCUGAUUGGCUCCUCCCGCGGCCUUGGGACCACCCUUCUCACCACCGUUGCCUCCCGCCUACACCACCCACCUCCUUAAUCAAAGCCAAUGAUUGCAUCCUUCCCGCUCUAUUGUGGCUAGUGGAAAGCAGGGGCCCCUGCGGGAUUGCCCAGGCAGUGCAACAGUCCCUGUCUGGAACUAGUUAAAUCCUUCCUCCAGAUUCAGACGCCAGCAUUCCUUUCAGAAAAACAAAAGUGUAUGUUCCCUCCCCUCCUUCAGAUCCGUACCCCAGCUUUUCUUUCAUGAACAAUGAGUUCUCUUAUACUCCUCCUUCCCAUAUUAAACUCUUCCCCUUUCCCACCUUCCACACGCAUAUCCCUCAAUCUCAAUAGCUCCAGGGAUCCCUACCUUUCUGCACUGCUGUUCUAAUGCAAAUAAAUAUAUUUUUUAAAAAAAUUUAAAAAUAAAAACAAAGAUAUAAAUAUGAAGCUCCCAGCUGAAGUACUGCCAAGUCUUUUGGUUUUGUUGCUGCUGCCACUGCUAGAACCCUACUGGGGAUAACCCUACGAGACAAGGGUUUUCUGACCAUAUCCUAGCACUACUGAGCUUCCCUAUUCUCCACUUUAUCUGUCCUUAUCUUGUACCUCCCUCUUCCUAUAACCCAUUGCCUUCCUUUAAAUGUCCCUAAGACUGUCAUCUUCCUAGCUUCUUGUGAAUGCAUGUGCCCUGACUCAGCAUUAGGAGAUUGCCUUACUACAAGGGAUUCACAGAUUGGAUGAGAUCCCAGGUUCCUAAAUUCCGGGUUUUAUUGGGGGGCAUAUUAGGAAAUCUUCCACAUCUCUGAUAGAUGUGUUUACAGCAGGACUGGACCUCCAAGGGACUGGAAGAAAAUUGUGAGCUGGGAACUCAGCAUUCUCCUCCUCCUCCUCCUUCUUCCUCUUCCUCUUCUUCCUCUUGUUCUUCUUUGAGACAGAGUGUAGUAGUGUAAUCAUAGCUCACCGCAACCUUGAAGUAUUGGGCUCAAACAAUCCUCCCACCUUAGCCUCUGGAGUAACUGGGAGGACAACAGGCACAAGCCAUCACUCCUGGCUAACUGGAACUCAGCAUUCUUGAUGGAAGUCCUCCCUUGGUGCUGCUGGAAAAGUCAACUCGAUGGGUGGCAGAGUUCUGCCUCUUGAAGUUGACAGCACUGCAAGGAGUGGAAUCUGGAUUCCUCAAGACUGCAAAAAGGCCUAGGUGAGUAACACAAACCUAGGGGUGCAUUAGCUCAAUGGACCAAGAGGAGCUUGCCCAGUGGGAGAUGCAAGCUAGGAUGGAGCUCGUCGGUAAAUCCCCUCUACCUUUAUUAUUUUCAUGGCCAAGCAACCACAUGGUCUAAUGAAAAGGCUGUGUCUCUUUGUGACUCAUGAAGCAGUAACUAGUUUGGUAACUCUUCUCCUUGGAUCUGCACCCUGUCCUUCCCUGUCUCACUCUCCUUUUCUCUUCCUCUCAUGGUUCUGGCUUCACACCU
ensembl:lncRNA novel transcript